CAUUAACGUCCGAUCGUAUCUUUUACGGACCACUUCAUAGUCUGAAACUGACAACGAGCAGUGUAACAACGAUUUUUUCCACGGAAGCUGAUUACCGACCACUUUAUGAUUAUCACCGAUCGCUCAAUGGUCAAUAAAGGUCUACCCAGUAAUUUGAAAAUUUUUAACUCCCACGUUUCCCCCUUUCCACUAUAUUCUAAUCAGUUAAAAAAAUAACCCUAAGCUUCCUUGGACCCUUUGAGAAAUUGAUGCUUCCCUCUCCAAUCUUGCUCAUCUUCACAUCGUUACCUUCGUCAAAGAGCGUCAUUGGCGUCUACGCCAUCGCACCGUUUUCAGGUUAACUCCAGUCUCCGUCUUCCCAAUGAAUCUCCGUCGACUUAUCAUUUCAGUCUCCGUUCCUUUCGUCUCAACAAGCGGACCACUCUGUUUGUUCGUUUUGUUUCGUCGUACUCCAUUGAUCUAGAUUUGCUUCUUCUCGAAGUCUUUUCACCAGCAAUAACCUCGAGCAAAACCAAUCGAUCACCGAUGAACUUUCGACUGUAGCGAGAGCUUGCGUUUGAGGUGAAGAUCUGGAUUUGUGUUUGAGGUCUCAACCAAAUCAGGUUAUUUCGUAGUACCGUAGCACCGUAGCACUGCCACCUGAAGAUUACAUGUCUUUAUGAUUUUUAGUAAUUCGGUAAUUAUCUCUAUUCUGAUUUUUCUAUAAUUUUCUCUUUUUUAUUUUCUGUAAUUUUAUUUAAUUGAUUUUCUGUAAUUUAUGUAUUUUUUUAUGUAAUUAUCUCUUCUUCCUUAUUUUCUAUAAUUUAUUAUUACAAAUCUACGAUUUUUUUUGUGAAGAACCAUUGAUUUUUUACUAGUGGCAGCUUGCUGAUUGAUGGAAAACUGAAUUAAAACUUAAAUUUCGUUUUUAACUUGAAAAUGUUUUGGUUAUUAUACUAAGCAGAUUGAAAAUCUUGCUGAUUUUUGCUUCUUUAUUAAUUUGAUGUGCUAUUAAGGUCUAUUUGGGCCCAUUUCUUGGACCAGCACAUGCCCGAUAAAAAUACUAAAAUACCCUUAUUUUUAGGGCUAUCAAUCCUCCACCAGUUGGAGUUAGCCUAAGUACCAUACUUUAUUGGAAUUCACAACCCCACUAUAAAUAGUGGUUGUCCCAUCAUCUAAAAGGUAUUCAAUACUCACCUAACAAGCUAGUACAUCUCUCUCUACAGUUAUCGCCUUCUCUCUCUACCUUAAUUACUGACUUAAGCGUCGAAGAGGCGUUCUAGGGAAAACCCCUAGGAUAGUUUUUCAGUGUGCUUUGCAGGUUUACUGCCGUCAAGACCCAUC